GUUUUUUUAUGCCCCACCUAGAGGCAUUAUGUUUUCCUAUCUGUGUGUCCCUUUUUCAUUUGUCCGUCUGUCUCCAACUUCUUGUUCAAGUUUUUGGUCAAGGUAGUUUUUCAUGAAGUUGAAGUCCAGUUAACUUGAAACUUAGUACACAUGUUCCCUGUGAUAUGAUCUUUCUAAUUGUAAAGUCAAAUUAAAGUUUUGACCCCUAUCUCACAGACUACUGAACAUGUAAAAUGAUAGUGUCCCCUUCAAGUUUAGGUUUUUUGUCGAGGUAGUUUUUGAACAUAGAAAAUUAUACUGUGAGUAGGGCAUCUGUGUACUAUGGACACAUUCAUGUUUCACUUCAAAUCAACCAGUUAAAACUCAAGUUUUAGUAGUAACUUAUAUGUUUUAGACAAAGCAGAAGAUUCCUGAUUUUUGAUGUUUACGAUUGUAUUGGGCUAUUCAGGUUAAACUGUGGCUUACUAGAAUGAAAUUAGAUGAUCAC
rnacentral:lncRNA from 1 species